rnacentral:rRNA from 1 species
AGAUAGAGUGGUGCCUUCCGGAGCUAUGAGACAGGUGCUGCAUGGCCGUCGUCAGCUCGUGUUGUGAAAUGUUGGGUUAAGUCCCGCAACGAGCGCAACCCUUAUCCUUUGUUGCCAGCACGUAGAGGUGGGAACUCAAAGGAGACUGCCGUUGAUAAAGCGGAGGAAGGUGGGGACGACGUCAAGUCAUCAUGGCCCUUACGACCAGGGCUACACACGUGCUACAAUGGCGUAUACAAAGGGAGGCGACCUCGCGAGAGCAAGCGGACCUCAUAAAGUACGUCUAAGUCUGGAUUGGAGUCUGCAACUCGACUCCAUGAAGUCGGAAUCGCUAGUAAUCGUGAAUCAGAAUGUCACGGUGAAUACGUUCCCGGGCCUUGUACACACCGCCCGUCACACCAUGGGAGUGGGUUGCACCAGAAGUAGAUAGCUUAACCGCAAGGGGGGCGUUUACCACGGUGUGGUCCAUGACUGGGGUGAAGUCGUAACAAGGUAACCAAGGGCGAAUUCUG